GACGAACGCUGGCGGCGUGCUUAACACAUGCAAGUCGAGCGGAAAGACCCUGCUUUUGUGGGGUGCUCGAGUGGCGAACGGGUGAGUAACACGUGAGUAACCUGCCCUUGACUUUGGGAUAACUUCAGGAAACUGGGGCUAAUACCGGAUAGGAGCUCCUGCUGCAUGGUGGGGGUUGGAAAGUUUCGGCGGUUGGGGAUGGACUCGCGGCUUAUCAGCUUGUUGGUGGGGUAGUGGCUUACCAAGGCUUUGACGGGUAGCCGGCCUGAGAGGGUGACCGGCCACAUUGGGACUGAGAUACGGCCCAGACUCCUACGGGAGGCAGCAGGGGGGAAUAUGGCACAAUGGGCGGAAGCCUGAUGCAGCAACGCCGCGUGCGGGAGGACGGCCUUCGGGUGGUAAACCGCUUUCGCCUGUGACGAAGCGUGAGUGACGGUAAUGGGUAAAGAAGCACCGGCGAACUACGU
rnacentral:rRNA from 1 species